UGCCAGCCGCCGCGGUAACACGGGGGGCGCAAGCGUUAUUCGGAAUUAUUGGGCGUAAAGGGCGCGCAGGCGGACCGUUAAGUCUGAUGUGAAAGCCCGGGGCUCAACCCCGGAAGUGCAUUGGAUACUGGCAGUCUUGAGUAUGGGAGAGGAAAGUGGAAUACCGAGUGUAGGAGUGAAAUCCGUAGAUAUUCGGAGGAACACCAGUGGCGAAGGCGGCUUUCUGGACCAAUACUGACGCUGAGAUGCGAAAGCGUGGGGAGCGUACAGGAUUAGAUA
rnacentral:rRNA from 1 species